GAACUUGGGCAGUCACUAUAGGAGGUUAAACACUGUGGAUUUGUGUGUGGGUGUGUGUGUUAACAAAAGCUCUGUGUUUUGUUUUACGUUGUUUCGAGCGACAUGAGCACUGACAUUGGACACUGACACUGGAAUUUGUUCCAGCUGGACAUUUCAGCUGUAGCUGUGGAAAUCAGCUGAGGCAUUGUUGGAAAUAGAACAUCCAGCGUUGUACAGGUGGUCGUGCUGUUUUGGAAUUACAUCUGAAAGCAAACUUCAGCGGAGCCCUCUAACUGGCAUUUACCCACUGACCCCAGCGGAGCCAGUCAGGACGGACCCACCAAAAAUCACAAAAUUGCUGUCACUCCCUUACCUGGUGUCCACGCAUAGUGAGUCAAGGAGCAGUAGAGCAACAGGGUCACACCUGUGCUGGUGGAGGUCCAUUGGGACAACUGAUCUGUGGGUGCUCACAUGUUAUGAGCUCUUGUUGGCCCGCUCCCUGCUCUUCAGCAUUACAGAAGAUGUAUUUCUCUUCAUCAGAUCUGGGCCCAAGUACUGCCCUCCUUGUCUAUUGCUGCCUUGCCAGAAGUGGGCGCUGGACAAACAUGGGCUGAGUUCUCAUAGCCUCACAUCUCAUAGCGAUGGUGAAGUCCAGAAAAUCCCUUUAGAGGCAGCAGAUCUCUUCUCUUUUCCAACUGUCAGUGGCUCAACACCACCAAACCAUCAGCCAAUAAAUCUAUGAGGCCAGAGUCGAAGCUGAGAGGGAGGCUAAGCACCAGGAGUUGGGUUUCCCUGUUGGAGUGGAGUGGACCCUCGAGAAUCCUUCACCCUGAAAAACCAGUGGAGAAACACCUCAAUAAUCACAUUUGACUGUAGCUCUAAUCCCCAAACAUCUGACACAAUUGCACCUAACACAGGUGGAGGGUUGAGGAAGAUGAGCACUGAGGGCUAUCAGAGCUCAACUGAUGUCAGCUGGAGUUUAAGGUGGAUUACUGGUACGCUUCAUGCUCCUUGACAACCAGACGAGUCACAGAGAGGUGAGAACUGAAAUGGGAAGACAGACUGACGGACGGGAGAGGAAAGGGAGGAAAUGGAGAAAGGAGGAAUGUCAAAUCUGGUGCAUUGGAAGUGAUCUUGGCAGGAAACCUAAGUUACCAUAGCGACCUGGUGAAAGCUCUGCAGCAACUAAGAGACA